UGUCAACUCAAGUGGCCCAAGUCUGGUUCCCAGCAAAAAACAAAAAGUUGCUCAAGUCUGGAAGAAGUUUCGAAAGGAAAAAUGAAAGAGGCCAUGGGCCAGGGUCAGCUUUGCUUUGUUGGUUACUCACGAUCGAAGACGAUCUUUUGGACUGAUUGUGAGCUUGUGCCCGCUACAGCUACUGCGCUGGAUAACGUAGUCCAAGCUAGUUUCCCAAAAUUUCCCUUAAAAAAAAUUAGUUUCCCAAAAAGAAAAGGCAAAGAAAACGUAGUACAAGCUCGAUUUGAGUCGUUACGUUACCGAGUUCAAAAUUAAAUUCAGCUUGACUCGAGUAGCUCAUGAGUUAAUUCGUUGGACACGUUAAUAAAAUUGGGCAUGCAAUCUCUAUAAAUCUGACUAUCUCGUAUGUACCGCAUUACAUUACAUAUCACAAUCUCAAGAAUUUGGACUAGAAACGUGACAAGAAAUCAGGAACAGAGGAAGUAGGAACUAGCAUGAUGUACAGUAAUUCCAUUUUACCCCCUUCCCUCAACUAUUGUCAAAGUCCAAAUGUAACCCUAAACUCUAAAACCAGGUAAGUUUUACCCCCUCAACUUCUCGUACCGUUUACUAGUACCACCAAAUUUGUUUUCACAUAGAUUUCCCUGGUUUUAGCUGCCACGCUGGUGAAGGAUUGACUCCGGCCAUCUUCUUCUCCCCCGCGCGGUGUUGUUCUGCCACCAAGAGGCUGGUCCUUUUUUGUCGAAUGAUCUGGUUCUUGCGUGAGUGCCCCCGCCCCCCCACCCCACCCCCCACACUACCUGCAAGAACCCUAGAGCCGCAACACAGCAAGUUGGUCGAUUCGGCACUGGUGGUGGCCAUUGAGCACGGCGGUUGGUCGAUUCAGCACUGGCAGCGGCGCCGGCAAUUCAGCAGCAGCAACUCCCGCUCUUCCCCUCCUGCAGCAGGUUGGGGAAAAGAACCGAGAGAGAGAGAGCGGGAGAGUGUGUGUGUGUGUGUGUGUGUGUGUGUGUGAGAGAGAGAGAGAGAGAGAGAGAGGGGGGGAGGUGAGGAGGGGGGGAGGGAAGGAAGAGAAGGCAUUUGCCGGCAUGGCGGUCAAGCCAGGUCAAGGUGCCAACGCUACGGCCAA
rnacentral:lncRNA from 1 species